CCUACGGGGAGCUGCAGUGGGGGAUAUUGCACAAUGGGGGGAACCCUGAUGCAGCGACGCCGCGUGGGUGAAGAAGCGCCUCGGCGCGUAAAGCCCUGUCAGCAGGGAAGAAAAUGACGGUACCUGAAGAAGAAGCCCCGGCUAACUACGUGCCAGCAGCCGCGGUAAUACGUAGGGGGCAAGCGUUAUCCGGAUUUACUGGGUGGAAAGGGGGCGCAGACGGCGAUGCAAGCCAGGAGUGAAAGCCCGGGGCCCAACCCCGGGACUGCUCUUGGAACUGCGUGGCUGGAGUGCAGGAGGGGCAGGCGGAAUUCCUGGUGUAGCGGUGAAAUGCGUAGAGAUCAGGAGGAACACCGGUGGCGAAGGCGGCCUGCUGGACUGCAACUGACGUUGAGGCCCGAAAGCGUGGGGAGCAAACAGGAGUAGAUACCCUUGUAGUC
rnacentral:rRNA from 1 species